GAUGAACGCUAGCGGCAGGCCUAAUACAUGCAAGUCGAACGGGAUCCGAUGUUAGCUUGCUAGCAUCGGUGAGAGUGGCGCAGGGGUGCGUAACGCGUGAGCAACCUGCCCGUCCCAGGGGUAUAGCCCGUUGAAAGACGGAUUAAGACCGCAUGACGUGCGAUAUCGGCAUCGAUUUUUCACCAAAUAUUUAUAGGGGACGGAGGGGGUCUCGUGACAUUAUCUAUUUGGUAGGGUAACGGCUUACCAAGGCGACAAUAUCUAGGGGCUCUGAGAGGAGAAACCCCCCCACUGGUGCUGAGACACGGACCACACUCCUACGGGAGGCAGCACUAAGGAAUAUUGGUCAAUGGGGGGAACCCUGAACCACCCAUGCCGCGUGCAGGACACACGCCCUAUGGGUCGUAAACUGCUUUUAUACGGGAACAACCGUUCCCACAUGUCGGGAUCUGAGUGUACCGUAUGAAUAAGGAUCGGCUAACUCCGUGCCACCAGCCGCGGUAAUACAGAGGAUCCGAGCGUUAUCCGGAUUUAUUGGGUUUAAAGGGGGCGUAGGCGGCACUUUAAGUCAGGAGUGAAAUACGGCAGCUCAACUGUCGCAGUGCUUUUGAUACUGAAGUGCUUGAAUAGGGUCGAAGAGGGCGGAAUGGGACAAGUAGCGGUGAAAUGCAUAGAUAUGUCCCAGAACCCCGAUAGCGAAGGCAGCUGUCUAGGCCUUUAUUGACGGUGAUGCACGAAAGCGUGGGUAUCGAACAGGAUUAGAUACCCUGGUAGUCCACGCCCUAAACGAUGAUGACUCGAUGUUGGCGAUAUACAGUCAGCGUCCAAGCGAAAGCGUUAAGUCAUCCACCUGGGGAGUACGAUCGCAAGAUUGAAACUCAAAGGAAUUGACGGGGGCCCGCACAAGCGGAGGAGCAUGUGGUUUAAUUCGGUGAUACGCGAGGAACCUUACCCGGGCUUGAAAGUUACUGAAUUAUCCAGAGAUGGAUAAGUCCUUCGGGACAGGAAACUAGGUGCUGCAUGGCUGUUGUCAGCUCGUGCCGUGAGGUGUUGGGUUAAGUCCCGCAACGAGCGCAACCCCUAUGUUUAGUUGCCAGCAUUUUAAGGUGGGGACUCUAAACAGACCGCCUGCGCAAGCAGCGAGGAAGGUGGGGAAGACGUCAAGUCAUCAUGGCCCUUACGUCCGGGGCUACACACGUGCUACAAUGGCCGGUACAGCGGGCAGCUACCCAGCAAUGGGGUGCGAAUCUAGAAAAGCCGGUCACAGUUCGGAUCGGGGCCUGCAACUCGGCCCCGUGAAGUUGGAUUCGCUAGUAAUCGUGUAUCAGCAAUGACGCGGUGAAUACGUUCCCGGGCCUUGCACACACCGCCCGUCAAGGGC
rnacentral:rRNA from 1 species